CACGCUCGAGAAGACCUUGAAAGGAGUCCUUUGGCCUACUUUUUGGAGCAGUCCUACCUCAGCUCAUCACAGGAAAAGAAUGAUGAACUUGAAAUCCUGCUGUAUGUCCUUGGCACUCCACAUAAUAAAGAAAGUUCCUUCCCAGUUCAUCUGAAACAAUCUUACCAUCCUUCGGACUCCACAUACCUCCAGCUUGUCUGACCGGAGUGGUGGAUCCUUGAAGUCUUCCUCGGCUCCUGUGGGUGGACAAUGACCCUGCCUGUCUGACUCGUGGUCACCAUGGUGACCUCUCCAGGUGGGGGCUGGUCACAUUAAAUAUGAUAGGACCAAAGUAGAAGGCACCAGUGACCAGAUGCAUCAGGAACAAAGAGGGAGGAAAGCAGGGUCCUGAAAAUAGAAAUCACAUCAAAAAAUAGAUGACGAGUUGAUAAUGCCUUGAGGCCUUUGUUCAGGAACACUCUGGCACUAUAAAGGGAAGAAUGACAGCACAGUAUUCUUCUGUGAAGCAUGAGCUGGUUUUUCUUCAAGAGUUCUUCCCAAAGAAGGCCUUGUGGGUUGUGGCUAACUCUGUUUUCCAUUUUUAUCUAGAUUUGUUCUUUAACGCGAAUGUUAUUCUUUUUCCAAGGAUUGCUGUAUCAUCACAUUAAGAAUAAGAUAAACAAACUUGACAAAAAUUCACUGGAAACAAUAAGUGUGGUAAUUGCAUAUU